GAUCCUGGCUCAGGAUGAACGCUAGCGGGAGGCUUAACACAUGCAAGUCGAGCGGGAUUCCCUUCGGGGAUGAGAGCGGCGCACGGGUGCGUAACGCGUAUGCAACCUGCCUUAUACAGGGGGAUAGCCCAUGGAAACGUGGAUUAAUAUCCCAUAGGAUUACCGGUUCGCAUGAAUUGGUAAUUAAAACUGCGGUGGUAUAAGAUGGGCAUGCGUCUGAUUAGGUAGUUGGUAGGGUAACGGCCUACCAAGCCGACGAUCAGUAGGGGUUCUGAGAGGAUUACCCCCCACACUGGUACUGAGACACGGACCAGACUCCUACGGGAGGCAGCAGUGAGGAAUAUUGGUCAAUGGGCGAGAGCCUGAACCAGCCAUCCCGCGUGCAGGAUGACGGCCCUAUGGGUUGUAAACUGCUUUUCUGCGCCAAGAAACCUGUCAACGUGUUGACAGCUGACGGUAGCGCAGGAAUAAGCACCGGCUAACUCCGUG
rnacentral:rRNA from 1 species